AACCUAGCACACCUGCGGUGUGUACCUGCGGAGGGAUCAUUAAUGAGAAACUGCCCCUCGCGGGUAGAUCUCCCACCCUUUGUAAACUUACCUUUGUUGCUUUGGCAGGCCCGUCUCCGGACCGCCGGCUUCGGCUGGCCAGUGCCUGCCAGAGGAUUCUAAAACUCUGUCUGUCAGUGUUGUCUGAGUCUAUAUACAAUCGUUAAAACUUUUAACAACGGAUCUCAGAUCGGAAGAGCA
rnacentral:misc_RNA from 1 species